CGGUUGAUCUGCCGGACCCGACUGCUAUCAGAGUGGGACUAAGCCAUGCGAGUCAACGCAGCAAUGCGUGGCAUACGGCUCAGUAACACGUAGUCAACAUGCCCAGGGGACGUGGAUAACCUCGGGAAACUGAGGAUAAACCGCGAUAGGCCAAGGUUUCUGGAAUGGACACUGGCUGAAACCUACAUGGCCCCUGGAUUGGACUGCGGCCGAUCAGGCUGUUGGUGAGGUAAUGGCCCACCAAACCUGUAACCGGUACGGGCUCUGAGAGGAGGAGCCCGGAGAUGGGCACUGAGACAAGGGCCCAGGCCCUAUGGGGCGCAGCAGGCGCGAAACCUCUGCAAUAGGCGACAGCUUGACAGGGUUACUCUGAGUGAUGCCCGCUAAGGGCAUCAUUAAGGAACCUCUAAAAAUGGUGCAGAAUAAGGGGUGGGCAACUCUGCUGUCAGCCGGCGCGGUAAUACACGCCCCCAAAUGGACGGGACGAUCAUUGAGGCCUCAAACAAUCCGAAACCUUGACCCUAGCAGCUCCAUCCGAUAAAAAUCCAACUGCUCAACA
rnacentral:rRNA from 1 species